rnacentral:misc_RNA from 1 species
AUUUGUAUAUACAUUGGAAAUUACAAACAUACAAACCUUUCACAACAGCUAUUCUUCAGCUUAUUGCCUUACAUAGCUCAACUUUCCCAUACUUUUACAAUUGAAGAAGAUGAAACUGAAAACCAACCAAAUAAAGAAAAAGAAAAUUACAUUUUGAAAAAACUGAACAACAUAUAACAUAUUGUUUUCACAUCACUAUUUCUGGUUUUAGGAUGCUAGAUUUGAUCUCCUUGUGGGGUAAGACUACUCCACCAUUGCUGUAAAUUUCAUCACAAACAUGAACAUCUUCGCCAAGAAUGGUCAUAUUCUCAACACGAGCCCAUUGUCCAACGGUUGAGUGCCAACCGAUAAUGCUACCUGAGACGCAUGCGUGCUUCUUAACACGGACUCCGCGCAUCACAGUGCAACGAGAGAGCCUAACCCCAGACUCAAUCACACAACCAGGGCCUAUCGCAACAUCUGGUCCAAUCAAGCAUCCUUCUCCAAUUUUGGCAGUCUCGUCCACUAUGACAUUUCCAACAAUGUGAGAACCUAAUGCCAGUUUUGGUGAAGACCUCUUCUUCAAAGAAUCUAGGUAGAGUCUAAGACCGGUGAUGUAAUCCCUUGGCUGUCCAACAUCCAUCCAAAACCCAGGAAGGACCAUAGCGUAUAGCUUUUUCUCGGCAGCAAUAUUUGGGAAAACCUCUUUCUCAAUAGAUGUUGGUCUUAAUUGAAUUCUCUCUAGAACGCAAGGAUCGAGCAGGUAAAUGCCAGCAUUGAUCUUGUUGCCAACAAAUAACUUAGGCUUUUCCACAAACCUCUCAACUUGGCCAGUGGAUUCUUCCAUGACAACAACACCAUAUUUGGAAGGCUCAUCCACCUUAGUCACCAUUAAAGAAGCCUCCCCUCCAUGGGAUUUGUGGAAUUCAAUCAUCUCCUUGAAAGGAUACUCACUGAUAACAUCACUGUUAAGAACAAAAAACGGCUCACCAGAAUCAUCUACCAGCUUGUCUCGAGCCAGAGCAAGGGGACCUGCAGUCCCAAGUGGUUCAGUUUCUUGAGAACAUGUAAUCUUAAUCCCCAGUUUUGUCUCAAAUUCUUUCAAGAAGUUCAGCAUCACCUCCGGCUGGUAGUUUAUAGCUAAGACCACUUCAGUCACUCCAACAGCCUUGAGAGCCUCGAUCUGAUGCAAAAUCAUGGGCUUGUUUGCAAAAUCAACCAGUGGCUUUGGGACACUAAGAGUUAAUGGCCUCAACCGGGUACCAAAACCUCCAACAAGAAUAAGUGCCUUCAUCCUAAUUUCUCAAAACUCCUUGAACUAAAUCACCUUCCAAGACUGGAGUUGACUCAAGUCAAGCAAAAUAUUGAUAGAUCACAAACAGUGACGGUCGG